rnacentral:rRNA from 1 species
UUGUUGGUGAGGUAAAAGCUUACCAAGGCUUCGAUCAGUAGCUGGUCUGAGAGGACGGCCAGCCACACUGGGACUGAGACACGGCCCAGACUCCUACGGGAGGCAGCAGUGGGGAAUUUUGGACAAUGGGGGCAACCCUGAUCCAGCCAUGCCGCGUGAGUGAAGAAGGCRUUCGGGUUGUAAAGCUCUUUCAGCCGGAACGAAACGGUUACGGUUAAUACCCGUGACUACUGACGGUACCGGAAGAAGAAGCACCGGCUAACUACGUGCCAGCAGCCGCGGUAAUACGUAGGGUGCAAGCGUUAAUCGGAAUUACUGGGCGUAAAGCGUGCGCAGGUGGUUUUGUAAGUCAGAUGUGAAAUCCCCGGGCUUAACCUGGGAACUGCGUUUGAAACUACAAGGCUAGAGUGUGGCAGAGGGGGGUGGAAUUCCGCGUGUAGCAGUGAAAUGCGUAGAUAUGUGGAGGAACACCGAUGGCGAAGGCAGCCCCCUGGGUCAACACUGACGCUCAGGCACGAAAGCAUGGGGAGCAAACAGGAUUAGAUACCCUGGUAGUCCAUGCCCUAAACGAUGUCAACUAGUUGUCGGGCCUUAACGGGCUUGGUAACGUAGCUAACGCGUGAAGUUGACCGCCUGGGGAGUACGAUCGCAAGAUUAAAACUCAAAGGAAUUGACGGGGACCCGCACAAGCGGUGGAUUAUGUGGAUUAAUUCGAUGCAACGCGAAAAACCUUACCUACCCUUGACAUGUAUCGAAGCCCGCAGAGAAGCGGGUGUGCCCGAAAGGGAACGAUAACACAGGUGCUGCGUGGCUGUCGUCAGCUCGUGUCGUGAGAUGUUGGGUUAAGUCCCGCAACGAGCGCAACCCUUGUCAUUAAUUGCCAUCAUUUAGUUGGGCACUUUAAUGAGACUGCCGG